GAACAAAAACACAGCUCUUCCUUUGCGGUGUUUGCUAGCAGUGAACCUUGUCAGCAGCCCCUGAACGGGUUUGUGGAGAGGUGCCGAGGUGCUUGACUCGUUGCGCCUCGCCACCAUCCCGACUGCGUGGUGCGGUUUCCCCUUUCCUUCCGCGCCCCCGUGGCAGAGAAGAGCUUACAGACGCAGUGAGUAUAGAUAUCAUCAACAGGAAAGCCCUCAUGGAUCGUGACCUACCUGUUACUGCCUUCCCUCGGCUCCAAGAGAGGCCAGCCUUGCCCUACGCUCCAAUCUAAAGAACAUUACGCUAAAGUACUAUUUACUUGAUUAGUUAGACUCUUAAACCUGCCUGCCACUGUGUGACCCAGAAAAUCUCACAUUUGGUAAGAAGGACACACCAGGAAAAGCCUUGAGCACUCAGAGUUUGGCCUAUUUAUUUAAAUAGAGGCUGUGUGAUAUACUUUGUGUGGGCAAAAAGGAUUGCCAUCUUAUUUCAUGUAGACGGCCUUCUUCCUCUUCUGCUGGCUAACAGUAGUCUAAACUGGCUGAUAAGUAGGUCUCAUUGCAACUCCAGAACACAAUGUUGUUACUGGAACUGAAGUUAUCUUGUUUCACUUGAAUGAAAACAAUUCACUUCUGCAAGAUUUCUCUAUUACAGUUUUUUUGAAAGGAUAUGUGCUGUUUGACUGACAGGUGUUAUUCUUCCACAUAGUGGUACUUACUGUGUGGCAGGAAACAGAUGCAGUCUUAGGGGUGGACAAGCUGAUCGUAUACAUGGAAAGUCCUUUGCAUGUCUGCGCAGGGAAUCAAUAAAAUAACUGCCUGUAAACUCUGCUAGAUGGGG
rnacentral:lncRNA from 1 species